rnacentral:rRNA from 1 species
UACGGAGGGUGCAAACGUUGCUCGGAAUCAUUGGGCGUAAAGCGCACGUAGGCUGCGAGGAAAGUUGGGUGUGAAAGCCCUGGGCUCAACCCAGGAAGUGCAUUCAAAACUACCUUGCUUGAAUCUCGGAGGGGGUCAGAGAAUUCCCGGUGUAGGAGGUGAAAUUCGUAGAUGAUCGGGAGGAAUACCAGUGGCGAAGGCGCUGACCUGGACGAAGAUUGACGCUGAGGUG